GCUUCGGCCCCAUCUCCUCCGCCUGGGACUCCGUUACCACGGCAACGGCCAAACAGAGCCUGCGCGCAUGCGCCGCCGGCUGCCAUCACCUGGUCGUUGCUGGUGGUUACCGCUGCGUCCUGGCCGGGCGCCUCACUGUCGGUACUGCAGCGUUUUCUGCCGUCUCCACGCUCAGCUAGCCCUGAUCUCCCAACAGAAGGGCCUGCGCAGGAGACCUGUAAUGAUCAUUGAGUCCAACUCCCGGCUCCGCACAGGACUACCCAAGAAAUCAGAGCCAUAGGUCUGAGAGCAUUGUCCAGAAGCUUCUUGAACUCUGCAGGCUCAAGGCUGUGCCCAGUUCCCUGGGUGUUCCUGUGCCUGACAAACCUCUCGAUGCACGUGUUGUUCAUCUAUGGUGAGAUAAUUGUGUGGGGCUGAGGACCCUUCAGUUGAGGAUAGUUCUUUAUCAAGUUGUCAAGAUGGCAAAGCUGAUGGCAUCAGAAAAUACCAGAGGAUAUAAAAUUUAAAAUUAAAUUGUACUAGACUGUCCUACACAUAAAAUUAUUUCACCUUGGCUCAUGGCCACACAGCCACAGGAGACAGUUUGCAUCACAAACGUACCUAAAGGUUGAAUCUGAAAUGAGAAAUACUGUGCAUUUUGGCUUUCUCACCACGGAAGUCCAAAUGCCACACACUUUCCAUUGCCAGGAAUUGGUUUGUCUGCUUCUCCUCCUCUCUUUCCACAAGCAUGUCUGACCAAGGGCAGAUCUUCUUCACAGCCUUCAAACUGUCAACUAAAUAAAAGCAUAUGUGAUAUCUUAUUAUAACCAUGUGUGUCUUCUCAUUCACGAUGGCACAAGAAGCAGUUCAUGUUAGCACCUGAACAAGGAAAAUCUCUGAAGUUUAUGGGCC